rnacentral:lncRNA from 1 species
UCUUUGGCUUUUCCAAAGCACACCAACAGGACCCUUGGUCGAUUCUGAACGAAGUCUAACUCUCGUAUUUCGAGAAUUCACUUCCUUACAUUCUACCUUUGUCUUAACUGGUUUAAACACUCUCCUAUACAUAACUUUCAACCUAUAAUCUGGAACCAUGCUGCAAUUGCAAAUCAAUAGCUAUACUUAAAUAACACCAAAUAUAAUGCAACAUUU